GACGAACCACACGAACGUUAUUCGGAAUUACUGGGCUUAAAGGGUGCGUAGGCUGCGCAGCAAGUUGGGUGUGAAAUCCCUCGGCUCAACCGAGGAACUGCGCCCAAUACUGCUGUGCUCGAGGGAGAUAGAGGUGAGCGGAACUUAGGGUGGAGCGGUGAAAUGCGUUGAUAUCCUAAGGAACACCCGUGGCGAAAGCGGCUCACUGGAUCUCUUCUGACGCUGAGGCACGAAAGCUAGGGUAGCGAACGGG
rnacentral:rRNA from 1 species